rnacentral:rRNA from 1 species
GAUGAACGCUGGCGGCGUGCUUAACACAUGCAAGUCGAACGGAAAGGCCAGUGCUUGCACUGGUACUCGAGUGGCGAACGGGUGAGUAACACGUGGGUGAUCUGCCCUGCACUUCGGGAUAAGCUUGGGAAACUGGGUCUAAUACCGGAUAGGACCACUUCGUUGUUGUUGUGGUGGAAAGUUUUUUCGGUGUGGGAUGAGCUCGCGGCCUAUCAGCUUGUUGGUGGGGUAAUGGCCUACCAAGGCGUCGACGGGUAGCCGGCCUGAGAGGGUGUACGGCCACAUUGGGACUGAGAUACGGCCCAGACUCCUACGGGAGGCAGCAGUGGGGAAUAUUGCACAAUGGGCGGAAGCCUGAUGCAGCGACGCCGCGUGGGGAUGACGGCCUUCGGGUUGUAAACUCCUUUCGCCAAAGACGAAUUUUGACGGUAUUUGGAGAAGAAGCACCGGCUAACUACGUGCCAGCAGCCGCGGUAAUACGUAGGGUGCGAGCGUUGUCCGGAAUUACUGGGCGUAAAGAGCUCGUAGGUGGUUUGUCGCGUCGUUUGUGUAAGCCCAUGGCUUAACUGUGGGACUGCAGGCGAUACGGGCAUAACUUGAGUGCUGUAGGGGAGACUGGAAUUCCUGGUGUAGCGGUGAAAUGCGCAGAUAUCAGGAGGAACACCGAUGGCGAAGGCAGGUCUCUGGGCAGUUACUGACGCUGAGGAGCGAAAGCAUGGGGAGCGAACAGGAUUAGAUACCCUGGUAGUCCAUGCCGUAAACGGUGGGCGCUAGGUGUGGGUCCCUUCCACGGGGUUCGUGCCGUAGCUAACGCAUUAAGCGCCCCGCCUGGGGAGUACGGCCGCAAGGCUAAAACUCAAAGGAAUUGACGGGGGCCCGCACAAGCGGCGGAGCAUGUGGAUUAAUUCGAUGCAACGCGAAGAACCUUACCUGGGCUUGACAUACACCGGAUCGCUGCAGAGAUGUAGUUUCCCUUGUGGCUGGUGUACAGGUGGUGCAUGGUUGUCGUCAGCUCGUGUCGUGAGAUGUUGGGUUAAGUCCCGCAACGAGCGCAACCCUUGUCUUAUGUUGCCAGCAUUUGGUUGGGGACUCAUGAGAGACUGCCGGGGUUAACUCGGAGGAAGGUGGGGAUGACGUCAAAUCAUCAUGCCCCUUAUGUCCAGGGCUUCACACAUGCUACAAUGGUCGGUACAACGCGCAGCGAGCCUGUGAGGGUGAGCGAAUCGCUGAAAGCCGGUCGUAGUUCGGAUUGGGGUCUGCAACUCGACCCCAUGAAGUCGGAGUCGCUAGUAAUCGCAGAUCAGCAACGCUGCGGUGAAUACGUUCCCGGGCCU